UACGGGGGGGCAAGCGUUGUUCGGAAUUACUGGGCGUAAAGGGCUCGUAGGCGGCCAACUAAGUCAGACGUGAAAUCCCUCGGCUUAACCGGGGAACUGCGUCUGAUACUGGAUGGCUUGAGAUUGGGAGAGGGAUGCGGAAUUCCAGGUGUAGCGGUGAAAUGCGUAGAUAUCUGGAGGAACACCAAUAGCGAAGGCAGCUCGCUGGGACGGUACUGACGCUAAGGCGCGAAAGCGUGGGGAGCGAACAGG
rnacentral:rRNA from 1 species